AGCAAAGUAAACAAAGAAUACGGACAGUGAAAGAAACAGUAUACAAUGUUGAUUCUUUGCACAAGUUAACAAGGGAAACAUGUUCUAGAUUCCCUCUAACCAUCUACACCAGGCAUAAUAGAAUAUUUCCUACUUUUUCAGGCUUACAAAAUUAGGGAUGAAAGAAAUGCAACCAAAGAUUGCUCAAGAAUUACAACAACAAUGCAUGGACUAACAAUCAGCUGACUCAUCCAAGUUACUACAAAAGUAUUCCUGUAGUGGAAUCAGAAAAAUCACAACAAUUUGUGUCAAGGUGGCUUUCCAUUAUCCAAAUCCUCCAUCACAUCAAUAUCUUUGCGAGCUGUAAUUUUCUGCACAUAUCCUGCAAUCAGACAUUAUUAAUGAAAGAGUAAAUUUCACAUAAACACCUGAGGUUUACAUGAUUUUGCAGAUGGCCACUUGAGUUUAAAAAGUCAACACAUAAUAGCAGUCCACAAAAGUAAAGAAACGCUAAGGGUUGUCUGUGAGUUUUGUUUUGGGAGGAAGGGAAUGGAUGGGUAGGGAAGGAAAAGUUCUUCCUUCUAAUAUUUUUUUUGAAAAGAAGAAGUUUCCCUUCCCUUCCUCCCAAAAUAAAACUCACAAGCAGGCCAUAAUAGCUGUCCCCCACCCUUUCCUGUGAAAAAAAUAAAAGAGCGCGAGAGAGAAUGGAAUUUCAUACAGACAAGAAAUGAGGGAUGCAGGUGUGUUUAAAAACUAUCACAUUCAAUAAUAGAAUUUUUCACAAAUUCCGAAACAUGUUAAACAAAGAGAAGUUUUAAAAAAUAGUCCAUAUCCCUUUUAUUUACCCUUGAUUCUUUUGCAAUCUUUUUUUCCUUUGUCCCUUUCACAAACAAAAUGAUAAUGCUCGUCUUACAUGUUUAAUUGAUGGCAUGAAAGUGGAAGAAUACUUAAUUACGAUUAUUCAGAGGAUUAAGGGAAAAACUCCCUAAUCACCGUAACGCAUAUAGGCCACAAGCAAAUUAAAGUGGGAUGUGGCAUGAUAAGAAAGCCAUCAUGCAAUAGUCAAUAGGUAAAAAAGAAUGGAGAAGAGAAAUAGUUGGUAGAAACUUUACCUUUGGCAUAUUCAAACAAUUAGCUACCAUAGAGGUUUGUCUCAGUCUAAUUAAAUAUCUAUUGGAUAUUAAUCUUGUUCAAGAAGAUGUGAACUAUCAAAGUUAAUCGAGUAGAAGCACCACUGUGCUUGUGCUUGACAAAC
rnacentral:lncRNA from 1 species